rnacentral:rRNA from 1 species
UACAGAGGUCUCAAGCAUUGUUCGGAUUCAUUGGGCGUAAAGGGUGUGUAGGUGGCGCGCUAAGUCGGGUGUGAAAUUUCGGAGCUUAACUCCGAAACUGCAUUCGAUACUGGCGUGCUUGAGGACUGGAGAGGAGACUGGAAUUCAUGGUGUAGCAGUGAAAUGCGUAGAUAUCAUGAGGAAGACCAGUGGCGAAGGCGGAUCUCUGGACAGUUCCUGACACUGAGGCACGAAGGCCAGGGGAGCAAACGGG